CUCCUUCCUUCUCUUCGAUUGAUCUCCUCCUCUUCUAUCAUUGGCAUCCCUCUCUCUCUCUCUCCUCCUUCAUUCUUUCCUUCCUCAUCCAUUAUUUCUUCUCCAUGAUGGCUUUUUCCACCUCUAUCCAUUCCCCUAUCACCUCUCCUUCCCCUCCUCCUCAUCAUUCUCCUCCCUCCUCUUCGAUUAAUCCUCUUCUCCUCCAUCAUCGCCAUCCCUCUUUCUCCCUCCUCCUUCAUCCUUUUCUUCUUUCUCAUCUAUUUCUCCUCCUCCAUGGCAUCUCUCUCUACCUCCAUCACUUCCUCCACCGCCUCUCCUCCUCCUCCUCCUCCCAGUGACCUAUAAGCUAUCCUCCUCCAUGGUAGCCCCCUCCUUCUCAUCCUCUUCCUCCUCCUAGCCCACCUAUAAGUGUGGGGCAUUUCUAUUUCUUGAGAGAGAAAGAUAAUAUCGUUUGUUAGUAAGUGAAUGGCUAGACCACAUUGGAAUAAAUUAAUAACUAGAAAGAUCAGUUUAAUACUUUUUAAAGUACAAAAAGUGUAAGUAAAAUUGGACUAAAAUUGAGGGAUGUUCAUG
rnacentral:lncRNA from 1 species